AGCGAACGCUGGCGGCAGGCCUAACACAUGCAAGUCGAACGAACCUUUCGGGGUUAGUGGCGGACGGGUGAGUAACACGUGGGAACGUGCCUUUAGGUUCGGAAUAACUCAGGGAAACUUGUGCUAACACCGAAUGUGCCCUUCGGGGGAAAGAUUAAUCGCCUUUAGAGCGGCCCGCGUCUGAUUAGCUAGUUGGUUGAGGUAAUGGCUCACCAAGGCGACGAUCAGUAGCUGGUCUGAGAGGAUGAUCAGCCACAUUGGGACUGAGACACGGCCCAAACUCCUACGGGAGGCAGCAGUGGGGAAUCUUGCGCAAUGGGCGAAAGCCUGACGCAGCCAUGCCGCGUGAAUGAUGAAGGUCUUAGGAUUGUAAAAUUCUUUCACCGGGGACGAUAAUGACGGUAACCGGAGAAGAAGCCCCGGCUAACUUCGUG
rnacentral:rRNA from 1 species